UACGGAGGGAGCUAGCGUUGUUCGGAAUUACUGGGCGUAAAGCGCACGUAGGCGGCUUUGUAAGUUAGAGGUGAAAGCCCGGGGCUCAACUCCAGAACUGCCUUUGAUACUGGCGAUCUUGAGUCCGGGAGAGGUGAGUGGAACUGCGAGUGUAGAGGUGAAAUUCGUAGAUAUUCGGCGGAACACCAGUGGCGAAGGCGACUCACUGGCCCGAUACUGACGCUGAGGCGCGAAAGCGUGGGGAGCAAACAGG
rnacentral:rRNA from 1 species